GACGAACGCUGGCGGCGUGCUUAACACAUGCAAGUCGAACGGUAAGGCCCUUCGGGGUACACGAGUGGCGAACGGGUGAGUAACACGUGGGUGGUCUGCCCUGCACUUCGGGAUAAGCCUGGGAAACUGGGUCUAAUACCGGAUAGGACCACUGCCUGCAUGGGGGGUGGUGGAAAGCUUUUGCGGUGUGGGAUGGGCCCGCGGCCUAUCAGCUUGUUGGUGGGGUGAUGGCCUACCAAGGCGACGACGGGUAGCCGGCCUGAGAGGGUGACCGGCCACACUGGGACUGAGAUACGGCCCAGACUCCUACGGGAGGCAGCAGUGGGGAAUAUUGCACAAUGGGCGCAAGCCUGAUGCAGCGACGCCGCGUGAGGGAUGACGGCCUUCGGGUUGUAAACCUCUUUCAGCACCGACGAAGCGUAAGUGACGGUAGGUGCAGAAGAAGGACCGGCCAACUACGUGCCAGCCGCCGCGGUAA
rnacentral:rRNA from 1 species